rnacentral:rRNA from 1 species
AUUGAACGCUGGCGGCAGGCCUAACACAUGCAAGUCGAACGAGUGGCGGACGGGUGAGUAAUGUCUGGGACACUGCCCGAUGGAGGGGGAUCACUACUGGAAACGGUAGCUCAUACCGCAUACUAUCGGAUGUGCACAGAUGGGAUUAGCUAGUAGGUGGGGUAACGGCUCACCUAGGCGACGAUCCCUAGCUGGUCUGAGAGGAUGACCAGCCACACUGGAACUGAGACACGGCCCAUACUCCUACGGGAGGCAGCAGUGGGGAAUAUUGCACAAUGGGCGCAAGCCUGAUGCAGCCAUGCCGCGUGUAUGAAGAAGGCCUUCGGGUUGUAAAGUACUUUCAGCGGGGAGGCGUUACCCGCAGAAGAAGCACCGGCUAACUCCGUGCCAGCAGCCGCGGUAAGUC